CCUACGGGGGGCUGCAGUAGGGAAUUUUCGGCAAUGGGGGGAACCCUGACCGAGCAAUGCCGCGUGAAUGAAGAAGGUCUUCGGACUGUAAAGUUCUGUUAUCGGGAAAGAAGGUAUAUAUCAGGAAAUGGAUAUAUAUUGACGGUACCCAAUUAGAAAGCCCCGGCUAACUACGUGCCAGCAGCCGCGGUAAUACGUAGGGGGCGAGCGUUAUCCGGAAUUAUUGGGCGUAAAGCGUGCGUAGGCGGAAUGUUAAGUCAUUUGUAAAAGAUCUCAGCCUAACUGAGUAAGGCGAAUGAAACUGGCAAUCUUGAAUACGGUAGAGGUAAGUGGAAUUCCAUGUGUAGCGGUGGAAUGCGUAGAUAUAUGGAGGAACACCAAUGGCGAAGGCAGCUUACUGGGCCGGAAUUGACGCUGAGGCACGAAAGCGUGGGGAGCAAACAGGCUUAGAUACCCGUGUAGUC
rnacentral:rRNA from 1 species